UCCUCGCGGCGGAAGAAUGAGGGGGCAUGAGGCUGAGCAAGGAAGGGAGUACGAAGUCCCAGACCCACUUUUCCUCUUCCACUCUGGAGCAGCAUCGGUGAGUUUGCUGUGGACAAGGGCACACAAGUUAUCAUCAAUCUGUGGGCGCUGCAUCACAAUGAGAAGGAGUGGCACCAGCCGGAUCAGUUCAUGCCUGAGCGUUUCUUGAAUCCAGCGGGGACCCAGCUCAUCUCA
rnacentral:sRNA from 1 species